UAAGGAAUAUUGGACAAUGGAGGCAACUCUGAUCCAGCCAUGCCGCGUGAAGGAAUAAGGCCCUAUGGGUUGUAAACUUCUUUUAGACGGGACAAAACCCCUUUACGUGUAAAGGGUUGAUGGUACUGUCAGAAUAAGCAUCGGCUAACUUCGUGCCAGCAGCCGCGGUAAUACGAAGGAUGCAAGCGUUAUCCGGAAUUAUUGGGUUUAAAGGGUGCGUAGGCGGACUAAUAAGUCAGUGGUGAAAGCCUGCAGCUUAACUGCAGAAUUGCCAUUGAUACUGUUAGUCUUGAGUACAGUUGAGGUAGGCGGAAUGUGUCAUGUAGCGGUGAAAUGCUUAGAUAUGACACAGAACACCGAUUGCGAAGGCAGCUUGCCAAGCUGUAACUGACGCUGAGGCACGAAAGCGUGGGGAGCAAACA
rnacentral:rRNA from 1 species